CCUACGGGAGGCAGCAGUGAGGAAUAUUGGUCAAUGGACGAGAGUCUGAACCAGCCAAGUAGCGUGAAGGAUGACUGCCCUAUGGGUUGUAAACUUCUUUUAUAUGGGAAUAAAACGUUCCACGUGUGGGAUUUUAUAUGUCCCAUAUGAAUAAGAAUCGGCGAACUCCGUGCCAGCAGCCGCGGUAAUACGGAGGAUCCGAGCGUUAUCCGGAUUUAUUGGGUUUAAAGGGAGCGUAGGUGGAUUGUUAAGUCAGUUGGGAAAGUUUGCGGCUCAACCGUAAGAUUGCAGUUGAAACUGGCAGUCUUGAGUACAGUAGAGGUGUGCGGAAUGCGUGGUGUAGCGGUGAAAUGCUUAGAUAUCACGAAGAACUCCGAUUGCGAAGGCAGCUCACUGGACUGCAACUGACACUGAGGCUCGAAAGUGUGGGUAUCAAACAGGAUUAGAUACCCCAGUAGUC
rnacentral:rRNA from 1 species